rnacentral:lncRNA from 1 species
GUACGUUCCAUCAAUACCGAAUUUAUUGAGCGUUUUUAGCAUGAAGGGCUGUUGAAUUUUCUCAAAGGCCUUUUUGGUUCUUAUCAACAUUUUAAACAUUUAGAAACCUUUUACAAAAUAAUUCUGAGAAUUCCAUUAUGAAAAAAUCAUGAGAUUUGCAAAAAUAUGUUAACAAAGUGGGAGUCAUAAAACAAAAGAAAUAUCAAUGUGAAGUUACUUACAUUGUGGUCAGAGUGCAAUAAAGAAUUGAGUUAUACUUGAUACAUUAAAAAAUUAAGUCAGAAUGUACAUUUUAUCUCUUACAGUGAGAAUUGACAACUAGAGAUGGCCAGGGCUCAGGAGGAAGCCUCCGAGCACUCCCGGGAACAGACAAUGUGGAUCAAGUUUACUCUCAUUACACUGGCUUUUACCUAGGACUAUUCUCAAUAUUGAGCUGUUGUUACUGCAGAACCAAGUUCACCUGUGGAAGCUCCUUGCUGAAGCUAGUUUUCUAUCAACUCAUCCGUCAGGCCUAGCAGGUGUCUGAGGAUCUCACUAUCCCUCUGCAGUUUUUGCAUUUCAGAGCAGCUCUCUCACCUUCCAUUGAAUCUAAUUUGACAUCCAAGCUGUGCCACCAUUCUUUGUCUAAACUGUAAGUCAGGGGAGACAGAAUCCAAUCUUUUGUAUAGUGCAUUCUCUUUUCUGUAGUAAGUUCCUAAAAAUCCUACUGACUACUCCAAUUCCUCCUCUAGCUCAACACUGUUAGAGUUGCCCCACAAGCAAGGGCAAGGAAAUUUUCACACAGGACUGCCCCCAAACAGUCCUUUUUGAUGUGAUGAUAAGUGGAAUUGUUUUCUUCAUUUUAUUUUUAUUGUUGACUGCCUUUAUUUAAAGUACAGUCUUCUUUGGUAUGCGGAUAUUAU